rnacentral:misc_RNA from 1 species
AAGUCGUAACAAGGUCUCCGUUGGUGAACCAGCGGAGGGAUCAUUACUGAGUUAUCCAACUCCCAAACCCCUGUGAACAUACCUAUGUUGCUUCGGCGGGCCGUCCCGCGGCGCGCCCACGUGGCGUGACCCGGACCCAGGCGCCCGCCGGGGAACCAAACUCUUGUCUUCCAGUGUCUCCUCUGAGUGGCAUAAGCAAAAAUAAACAAAACUUUCAGCAACGGAUCUCUUGGUUCUG